rfam:Paenibacillus sp. HGF7 contig00069, whole genome shotgun sequence.
AAAGUUUGACAGACAAUCGCUGGUGAUGCUUGCAUCGCGAGAGGAAAGUCCGGGCUCCAUAGGGCAGGGUGCUGGAUAACGUCCAGUCAGCGCGAGCUGAAGGAUAGUGCCACAGAAAUGGACCGCCGAUGGCGUCGCAAGACGCACAGGCAAGGGUGGAACCGUGGUGUAAGAGACCACGAGGGGUACUGGUGACUUUACCCCUGGUAAACCCCACUUGGAGCAAGACCUAAUGGGACGCGGUCUGCAGGCUUGCCUGACAGACAGCCUUAGCCCGAGGCGCGUCCGGGUUGGUCGCUUGAGCUGUAUAGCAAUGUAUGGCCUAGAUAGAUGAUUGUCACUUCAAUGGUGGGAGGGUAUCGUAGCCCGCUGCACCACCGGAAGUACAGAACCCGGCUUACGGCAAGCUUUCCAU